rnacentral:rRNA from 1 species
ACGGGAGGCAGCAGCUAAGAAUAUUCCGCAAUGGACGAAAGUCUGACGGAGCGACGCCGCGUGGAUGAUGAAGGUCGAAAGAUUGUAAAAUCCUUUUAGGAGUGAAGAAUAAGAGGUGCAGGGAAUGGCAUCACGGUGACGGUAGCUCCUGAAUAAGCAACGGCUAAUUACGUGCCAGCAGCCGCGGUAACACGUAAGUUGCGAGCGUUGUUCGGAAUUAUUGGGCGUAAAGGGUAUGUAGGCGGUCGUGCAAGCUUGGUGUGAAAGGCAGGGGCUCAACCCCUGGACUGCAUUGAGAACUGGAUGACUAGAGUUACUGAAGUGGAAUCAGAAUUCCAGGUGUAGGGGUGAAAUCUGUAGAUAUCUGGAAGAAUACCAAUGGCGAAGGCAGGUUUCAGGCAGAUAACUGACGCUGAGGUGCGAAGGUGCGGGGAGCAAACAGGAUUAGAUACCCUGGUA